GAUGAACGCUGGCGGCGUGCCUAAUACAUGCAAGUCGAGCGAACAGACGACGAGCUUGCUCCUCUGACGUUAGCGGCGGACGGGUGAGUAACACGUGGAUAACCCACCUUAAACAGUGGGAUAACUGCGGGAAACCGGAUCUAAUAGCGGAUAAUAUAUUGAACCGCAUGGUUUAGUAGUGAAGGACGGUUUUUCUGUGACUUAUAGAUGGCUUCGCGGCUCAUUAGCUAGUUGGUAGGGUAACGGGUUACCAAGGCGACGAUGCGCAGCCGAACUGAGCGACGGAUAGCCCACCCUGGAACGGGAACGGCGUCAAGACGCCUGCGGGAGGCCGCAGUAGCGUACGGUCCGCAGUGGGGGGAAACCUGGCGGAAUAGCGCCGCGUGUGUGAUGGAGGUCUUCGGAUCGUGAAGAUGUGUUUUUGGGGAAGAACAACUGUGUACGUGAAUAUAGACGUCGUGACGGUACCUGAUCAGAAAGCAACGGCUAACUACGUG
rnacentral:rRNA from 1 species